GACAGAGGGUGCAAACGUUGUUCGGAAUUACUGGGCGUAAAGCGUGUGUAGGCUGCUACAUAAGUCGGAUGUGAAAGCCCCGGGCUCAACCCGGGAAGUGCACUCGAUACUGCGUAGCUUGAGUCUCGGAGAGGUUGGUGGAAUUCUCGGUGUAGAGGUGAAAUGCGUAGAUAUCUGGAGGAACACCGGUGGCGAAGGCGGCAUCCUGGACCGGCAUUGACGCUGAGGCGCGAAAGCCAGGGGAGCAAACGGG
rnacentral:rRNA from 1 species